rnacentral:lncRNA from 1 species
UCGAACACGCCCACGAGAUGGAGAUGAUGAGCACCACCGACGACGCACGCGUCUUCCUGAGCGCGACGGCGGCCUCGCGCGCGCGCGCACGCGCGUUCGAGUUCGAGCUCUGGGACAGCGGGCGCGUCGAGCGCGCGCAGCGCACCGAUGACGAGCGCGAUCGCGGCGACGAGCGAAGCGCGGGUGAUGAGGAACGGCCUCAACGGUGCGACCUUCGUCGCCGGCGCGCGCGCCUCCGCGCGCGCGCGCGACAUGGCGUCGUGUGGCGUCGUCGCGCCGGGACAGUUACAGUCGAGUCGAGCGGCUAAAUGGUACAGACUACAUCGCUAUGGCUAUCGGACUACGCUGCGCGGUUUCUGGGUCUGCGUCGUCGACUACGACCUCAUUCCGCAACAAAACCCCCGCGAACGAUGUGCCGAUCGUCGCGAACGCAAUCACGAGCCAUAUCCACCGCGGUGCUCGUCCGUGAGGCUUCUCUUCCGUCGUCGCUUCGUCCGCCGUCUGCGUUCGCGAGCUCCGCGUCAGUCUCGUCCCACUCGCGUCUCCGCGUCGCGUUCGAUCGACCCGAGGUGUUCGUGGCAAAAAGUAGAGCGCACGGCGUGGUCUAAACCGCGCGCUCGUCGCAAGCCGACGAGCUGUUUGAUGUAUCCCGGAUCAUGAGUACGACCGCCAUUUGUCGAGCGGCUAUAUAGAUACACCGGGAAAACGAGACGAGACGCGCGUUCGAGGCGCGUUCGAGGCGAAGGAAAGACGCACAUCGACGGUGGACGACAUCGGAGGCGACGAUCGAGCCCGCGCCCGAAGGCGGGUCGCGGGCUGGAUUGUGGCGAACCAGGACGCGUCGGCGGGGUACCCUAGGCGCGGGCGGCGCUUACGUUUUGUUACAAUGCCUGAGUGUGUGCUGCUGAUCUGGCUAGGCUCGCUCGGUGGCAAACGCCAUUUCUUCUGAGAAUUCCCAAAGCUUGGACGCCAAGCGUGGGUCGCGGCUGGGAAGGCUCGAUUUCACCGGGAGACAUUUGGAAAAGAACGUGCCCGGCGGAAGCUUGGGGGCGGUGAGGCAAUACAGCGGCGUCACGACGGCGUCUUCGAGCGACGAAGUCACCGUAGAUUUCAAUAAACCCGAAAGAAAUGAGCCGCCCGGGAACGCGAGAGAUCGCUCGAGCUCGAGCUCCGUCAUGCCCGGGGUCGCCGCGACGCAUCGAACGGGCGAACCAUUCUUUGCCAAUCUCUCCGACAACGUCCACGCAUGCAAGAGAUUGGCGAGUUUACUCUGUCCGUAAGAGUUUAUCGGCGUGUAUCCCAUCUCACUGUUUAAGUUCACGAAAUCGAUCCCUCUGCUAGGUUUAAUCGUCCCCUGUCGCACUCGAUAGGUGAAGUGGUGCAAAUUUGAGCUGAGGUUCACCACGCGUCCUUCUCGCCCCGACGCCGCCGCCGUGCGCACGAGCUCAUCCAUCAACAGCGCGGUCAAUUUGAAAUGUGCGAGAUGAUUCACCGCAAACUGUCGCUCGAUGCCAUCGCUCGUGAGUCCAAACUCUACCAUCGUCGCCGUCUCGGCGUUUAAUAUCCCAUCUAACGCCCACGCCUUGGCGCAAAACGCCUUCACGAAGCUUUCGAUCGUCUCCAACUUUUCCAGAUCGCAGUACAACAUCACCACUUCUCCCUCAUUCGGCGACUCGCGCGUCGUCGCCUUCGCACCGUCUGCGUCGCCUUCUUCGUCUCGCGUCGUCGACUCCGUCGUCUCCGGUUCGCGCUCGAAGGCUCCCUCUCCCGCCUUGACGUCCGCGCACGCGCACACCACGCGCGCUCCCGCGCGCGUCAAUCUUUUCGCGCACUCCACCGCGAUCGCCGUCGUCGGUACGCCCGUGAUGACGUACGUGCGUCCGCUCAAGUCGACCGAUCGAUUGCGUCCCAGCGCGUCGUUUUCAUCGCCCUCGCGCGUCGCGCCGUCGCUCGAUUCCCCGUCCAGCGCGCGCGCGGAGUACCCGGCGCAUCCGGUGAAGCUGUCGCGCACGGCGCGCCACGCCGCGUCCAUCGCGCGCGUCGCACUGCCGUCGGUCGCGUUCGCCCGGUUGUCCCACGGCGAGCGCUCGCUCGUCCGCGCACAUCACCGCGCGCGCGCGUCGCGGCGCCCUCGCGCGCGCGCGCCGCGGCGGCAUGGGUCCGAAUCGCGGCGGCGGCCGCCGCACGGGCGGCGGCGGGCACCAGGCGGGACAAAACGCCAUGGACAAGGCGAAGCUGAAAAAGGAAAAGGAAAAGGCUGCGAAGCGCGGAAGCCGCGCGGAGGCGGCGGAGCGGGCGAACAAGCCGGAAUUUCUGCAGUCCAAGACGACCGGAAAGGGCUCAGGGACGAGGCCGGGGGCGGAGGGGCGAGGGGUGGAGGAGGUGGUGAUGAGCGCGAAUUGCGCGGCGAUGGUGACGGAGACGCUGCGGCGGCUGGACGUGUCGACGAACGCGAUGCCGCGCGUCGGAUCGAGCUCGAGCGUGGAUGUCAGGCACGACGUCGAUAGGGAAGAUGUACUGCGGAAGGCGGCGCAGGCGAUCGGGAAGAAGGGGUUUAGUGAGGGAUUGAUUGAACGCGCGCUCGCGGCGACGCGGCGAGCGGCGGAUGUCGAGCGAGACGCGUGCGAAGGAUUUAAUGAACAGAAACGACGAGCGAUCGCGCGGGCGAUGGAUUGGUUGAUAUUGAAUGCCGAUAAAAAUGAACUUCCAGCUGCGUUACGACCGGAGGUGAAAGGAAAGACGAAAGGUAAAGGUGGUGACGAAGCCGCGGCGAAGGACGACGCCGAGGGCGCGAUUGAGGCUUUUGUUCGCGCCGGUUUCACCGUCGACGCCGCUCGGACAGCCAUGCGAGGAGCAAAGGGCGAUGUCAGCCGCGCACUCGACGAUCUGUGCGCCGCACUCGGACCGAGUCGCGAGGAGGCGCUCGCGGAGGCGAUGGAGGCGUUUGCGGACACAGGAGCGGAUUCCGCGAGCGAGGACGACAUUCGCGAAGUGUUGCGCAACGCACAGUACGAUGAGUUGAGCGAACUCCCUCGCGAUCUUUACAAGCAACGAGGGUAUAACCCGGCGUCGGGCACGGCAUCUAUGGCUGUGGAGAUCGCGGGUAUCGUAGCUUUGGGUGCCGCCAAGCAGUAUGCCGCGGACUUUUACGUGAGUUUCAAGGACGCGCCGCUGUACCCAUUCGAGCUUCCACGCUUGUCGUUUUCUCAUCCCACGCUAGACACGGAACGAUCGAUCGCAGUCUCGGUGGCGAUGAUGCGACACGCUGCGUCCCUUGUAGGACAGCCCAUGAUCGACGACAUCAUAGAGUGGCUUCAAGGGAGCGGUCCUUUGGAGGCGAUAGAGGAAGCGCGCGAACGCGCGAUGGCGCCCGCGCUCGAGCCAGCGAAGAAGAAAGUUACAGGCGCGAAGGCGAUUCCAGCACCAAAAGGAGGCAUUCUGGCUCCACCAACGCAGACCAAAGAAGAGCGCAAGAGAGAACUCGAGCGUCGACGCGAACUUGCAGCCGAAGCCGAGAAGACGAGAGCGCGAGUCGAGGCGCAGACAGAGGCGGAGGCACAGACGAUUGCCGAAGCGAAGACGAAGAAACUCGCCGAGGCAAUCUUAAAGGAGGAAGAGAAGCGCGCGAACGACCCGCGCGUGAUCGCCGAAAGCGAGCGACUGAAAACGGAGUUGACCAAAUUCUGGAACGAUAAGAAGGACUCUCCGAUACUUAAACAGCGUCAACGUCUUCCGGCGUGGGCAAAGCAACAAGAACUCAUCGACGCCGUCGAGCGCAACCAAGUGCUCAUCGUCGCCGGCGAAACGGGUUGUGGUAAGACUACACAGCUGCCGCAGUUCAUUCUUGAUAACGCUAUCUGGCAAGGACGUGGAGCGAUGACAAACAUGAUUUGCACACAGCCGCGUCGAAUCAGCGCCACGAGCGUGGCGAGUCGCGUGGCGAGUGAGCGAGGUGAACAAAUUGGCAAAACAGUGGGCUAUAAAAUCCGUCUUGAAGGCUCGAUGAGCUCGAGCACGCGAAUUUUGUUUUGCACCACGGGCGUGUUACUGCGUCGUUUAACCGAAGACCCUUUACUGAGCGGUACGAGUCACGUGAUAGUCGACGAAGUCCACGAGCGCUCGCUCGAUUCUGAUUUCUUACUCGUCUUGUUGCGCGAUAUUUUGCCGCAUCGACCGACACUCAAAGUGGUGCUGAUGUCAGCCACGUUGAAUGCGCUCGCGUUUGAAGACUAUUUCAAGGGCGUUUCUGCGGUGAGCAAAAUCCCUGGGUUCACUUAUCCGGUGAACGAGCAUUAUCUCGAGGACAUCUUACAAGUGACCGAGUAUCAACCAAACCCAGGGACGGAGUAUUUUAAAAAGGCGCCGCGACGCAGGGACAACUUUGACGCCUCUAGUCGACCGGUGUCAAGUAAGGAUGGCGACAUACCGGAUGAAGACUCGUUCAACAUUACGUUGCGGGACAAGGGCUACGGUGACAACGUCGUUCGCGCUCUCCGAAACCUCGAACAGGGUUUGAUCAAUUACGAGUUGAUGACGCUUUUAAUCUCGCACAUUUGCGAGUCGAUGGACGAAGGCGCAAUACUGGUAUUUAUGCCCGGUUUGGCGGAGAUCACGAAGCUUUACGAGGCGUGUGGGGCGAAUCCUACGAUCAACGCGGCAACGUCUGGAGGAAAAUACCUGAUUGCUUUGCACAGCACGCUGAGCACGGCCGAGCAGAGCAUCGUAUUCGAUCACGCCCCAGACAGCGUGCGUAAGAUAGUCAUCGCAACAAAUAUCGCAGAGACGUCGAUCACGAUCGACGAUGUCGUGUACGUAGUCGACAGUGGCAAGUGCAAAGAAAACGGCUACGAUCCAAACACUCGAAUGCAGCUGCUUCUCGAGCAGUGGGUGUCUCGUGCGAGCGCUCGACAGCGUCGCGGUCGCGCGGGACGCGUGCAAGCCGGCCGAUGCUUCCGAAUGUACACGCGUCACGUGCACGAUACGGUCUUCGCUGAACACACGCUUCCUGAAAUCAGACGCGUGCCUCUAGAAGGCUUGUGCUUGCAGAUUCAGCUACAACGCAUGGCUGGGGGCAUCGCCGGAUUUCUCGGCAAGGCGUUGGAGCCUCCGAAGGUUGAGUCUGUGGAGGCGGCGGUGGCGUCUCUCAAACGCCUUGGUGCUUUGGAUGAGCGUGAAUGCCUGACCCCACUCGGUCAACACUUGGCUACGUUACCCGUGGAUGUUCGCGUGGGUAAGAUGCUCCUCUACGGCUCCAUGCUUGGGUGCCUGGAUCCCGUGCUCACGAUUGCUGCCGUCUUGAGCGGUCGUUCGCCGUUUGUGGCGCCGCUCGACAAACGCGACGAAGCAGAUCUCGCCAAAAAGCUCUUCGCCGAAGAUCAAUCGGAUCAUCUCACGAUUCUGAAUGCCUAUAAUGGCUGGCAAGAUGCGAAGAAGCAAGGACGAUCGUCUGAGUUCGCGUUCACCCGCGAAAACUUUCUCUCGUGGAGAGCACUCGAGGGCAUCGCAGAUCUGCGGAACCAAUUUACACAACUUCUGAAUGAAUCAGGUUUCCUGGGAUCGUCGUCGAAGAAGAAAGGUGGUGGACGGUAUCGCGGUCGCCAGCGCGGUAAUGUCUUGGAAACCGACGUAGAUUGGAUUCGAGCGAAUCGAAACUCGGAGAAUAAACGACUGUUAAAGUCGGUUCUCGUGGCUGGGUUGUAUCCAAACCUCAUCAAAGUCGACCCCGGUUCUCGUCCAGAUGCCCCACCCCGUCUGUCUUUCCUCGCCGAGAACGGGCGGACGGAAAAAAUCCAAAUUCAUCCAUCGAGCAUCAACUUCGAGGCGAAGAAGUUUAUCACCAAGUGGCUGGUGUACCACGAGCGCGUGCAGACGACGGCAAUCUUCGUGCGCGAUUGCACGGCGGUGACGCCUUAUCAACUUCUAUUGUUCGGGGGGAAAAUCGAAGUGCAACACACGCAAGGAACGAUAAGUAUCGAUCGCUGGGCGACGUUCCAAGCUCCAGCAAAAGUAGGAGUUUUGCUCAAAGAGAUCCGAAACCAGCUUGACCGCGUGCUGGCGCAAAAAAUUGAAAACGUCGGCAAGGACGUCGGCGAACUUUCCAACCCUCUCGUGCUCACGAUUCUCGAGCUUCUCGAUUCGGAGAAGAUCGCGAAGAUGUCCACAAAACCAAAUUAGCAGACAAACACAUUGAUUGAAUUGAUACAACACACUAUACAUAGUAAUCUAGUCCCUAUGACCAACUUCUCGUCUUCGCGUGCACGCGAGCCACAUCCGUCAUGUAAUCCCCGCUCAAUCGAGCGUACGCCGUGCGAUUCGCGCGCUCGAUCUCUCGUCGAGCGCGCUCCUCGUCACCAUUAAUCUCAUAAAAUAACCCCAAAUAUAACGCGCUAUAAAACUCAUCGCUCGCGUUCGAGCGUCCGGCUUCGCGCAGGCGCGUCGCCGCCUCUUCCGAUCCCUCCGCGAACAGCGCGAAAACGCUCGACAUCACCGGUCUCGAAUCCCGACCGGUGAUCAACAUAUUUUCUCUCGCGUACGCGAUCCCUUUCUCCGGAUCCAUCGCCUCCGAGGCGAAGCACCACACGCUCUCCUCCGUAUCGUUCGGGUUCUGCGCCACGUCCAGUCGAAACUGCUUCGCCGCCUCCUCGUACGCCCCCGCGUAGUACAGCGCCAGCCCGCGCUGCCACAUGUACGCGCUAAACCUCUCAUCGCUCGCGAUGGCGUCGUCGAACGCGUCGAUCGCGCCUCUGACGUCGCCUCUGAUAAACUCCCUCGCGCCGCGCUUGAUCUUUUCGCUCGCCACCGAUGCGUUCGCUCGCUCCGCGCGCGCGCACGUCGCCACGAUCGCCGCCGCGACGCCGCGCAGAGCGUCGCGACGAUUCGUUCGUCGUCUCGCGUCGCGCGUCGCGCACGCACGCGGCGCGCGCGCGCCGCGAGCGGCGGACAUUUAGUGACGUGUGGAUGUUAUCCACACGUCACUAAUUCCGACACACUAAUUCCGACACACUCCGACGCGCCGUUCGCGCGCUCGCCGUUCGCGCGCUCGCCGUUCGCGCCCACGCGCGCGCAAGUCCGCCCGCGACACUCUCGCGCCGCUCGCGCGCGCUCGAACGCCUCGAGCGACGCGCGCGCGCGAUGUCCCGAUGCGCAACCACGACGGUGACGGCGCGCGCGCCGACGCGCGUCCGCGCGCCGUCGAACGCGAUCGCGCGACGCGCGAGCGCGCGAUCGGUGCAGACACACGCCGGUCAGGGUAAAGUGCUGCUCGAGGUGAAGGACCUGCACGCGAAAGUCGCGGAGACGGGAGAGGAGAUCCUGAAGGGGGUGAACCUGACGAUUCGCGAGGGCGAGACGCACGCGGUGAUGGGCAAGAAUGGCUCGGGGAAGAGCACGCUGACGAAAGUGCUGGUCGGACACCCGGCGUAUGAAGUCACGAGUGGUAGCGCGACGUUCAAGGGCGAAGCGCUGUUCGAGAUGGAACCCGAGGAACGCGCGCGAAGCGGGUUGUUUUUGUCGUUUCAGUCGCCCAUCGAAGUCCCGGGGGUGUCGAACACCGAUUUCCUGAGAAUGAUGUGCAACGAACGAAGAAAGGCGCGCGGGGAGGAGGAAUUGGAUCCUUUGGAGUUUUAUGGAUAUCUCACGCCCAAGUUGGAGGCGUUGAACAUGGAUCCGAGCUUCUUGACGCGCAACGUCAACGAAGGGUUCUCCGGUGGCGAAAAGAAGCGAAACGAAAUUUUGCAGUUGGCCGUGAUGGAGAGCGAGAUGAGCAUUUUGGAUGAGAUUGAUUCCGGUUUGGACGUCGAUGCGUUGAGAGACGUGGCCAAGGCGGUGAACUUGUUGAGACAAGGCGACAAGGGCUUGCUCCUCAUCACGCACUACCAGCGUCUUUUGGACGCCAUUCACCCCAAUUUCGUGCACAUCAUGCAAAAGGGGCAAAUCGUGCAAACCGGGGGAGUCGAGAUCGCGACGCAGCUCGAGGAGGGUGGUUUCGCGUCGCUCGCGCAGUAGUUACAACAUAAACGAUUCAUUUAAUGAUAACACACGAUAUCACAAAUCACUCGAGCGACCACAGUUCGAUGCGAGCCGUCCUGAACAUGUUCUCCGAAGCCAAGGGCGGGGACUGAAAAGUCUCGCACUCUCCGCUCGAACCUUGAAGUAAAUCCUCUUCUAAACGAAUCGCGUGCGCGCUACCACCGCCGACGGAUAACGAGUCAGCGGCGCCGAACAUGUAGUAAUCGUUCGCCCCGCUCCACGCGUACUUGACGCCCUCGGGCGCGAGCGUGAACACGAAACUCUCACCCGUGCCGCCGUAUCGCGAGUGCACCUUCCACGCCUCGGUGCAAAACGCGCCAAAAAUAGCCCCACCACUAUCGCUCACGAGGAGCACCGUGUUCGCCUUCCCGCUCGCGCGUCUGUAAAGACUCUUCAACGAAAUCCCGUCGCGCUUGGUGCUGUACGCCAACGCCCACUCCCGCAUGCGAUACAUCGCCGGCAGCGCCUCCCGCAGCGUCUCCAUCUGUUCGACCGUCACUAUAUCACUCUUCCCAUUCAUUUUCAUCUCCGUCUUGAUCGUCCUCUCCGCCGACGUCGACAACUCGCUCGCGCCUCGCCGUCGACGCCUCGCCGUCCCGUUCCCCUCCCCCUCCUCCCUCGUCGUCCCCUCUCCCUCCUCCUCCGCCUCCAUCGUCGCCGUCCACGAUUCCAGCACCUUCCCUAAAAACCCCUCGUGCGCGUCGUCCGCUCGCACCCGCGCGCUCGUCGCCUUCCCGGCGCUCGUUCGAUACAGCACGUCCACCGUCCCGUCGCCGUCCUCGCCGCGCACGACGCCCACGAAUGACCGUUUAUUAAUCUCCGGGUGCUUCACCCUCGGAUCCAGCACCGCGCGCGCGUCUCCCUCGCCCGCGCGCGUCGGUCGCUCGAUUCGCACGCAGUUCCCGUCGUCGUCGUCGUCGUCGUCGUCGUCGUCGUCCCCGAGGACGUCCCGCCAAAACGUCCCGAACACCUCCUCCAUUUCGCGCCCUUCGUCGUCGUUCGUCGUCGUUCGUCGUCGUUCGUCCGGCGUUCGUUCGUUCGCUCGCUCGUUCGUUCGUCCGGCGUUCGUCCGUCGUCGUCGCGCCGCGCGACGCGCCGUGUCGCGCCGGUUCGCGCGCGCGAUUGGCGCCCGAGACACCCGGAAGUGGCGCGGCCGCCCGAGACACCCGGAAGUGAGAAAAGCGCCGAAAAAGAGGGGAGACGAAGAGACACAAUGACGACGCGAACGACGACGGCGCGCGCGCGGCGACGGACACACGGCGACGCGCGCGCGAGGACCGGGCGGUGACGAUCGCUUCGAUCGAUCGUCGCGGGCGUCGAUCGACGACGACGACGGCGAAACGCGGUGGUGGACGAGGAUGACGACGACGACGACGACGGCGCGGACGCGCGGGACGAAGGCGGAGGACGACGACGCGACGCGCGGCGAGGAGACGGCGAGCGAGGGACGAUGGCGAGCGACGCGAAGAAAGGAGCGGUCGAUGUCGGUGGAGGCGGCGAUCAGCGCGGCGAUGCGGUCGAUGCAGGGAGGGGCGAUGACGCCGACGCCGAGGUGGCGGGCGGUCGGGGACGUGGCGAGCGCGUGGGCGUUGAUGACGGCGCACGAGUUGGAUUGGCUCGGCGCGUCGGGGGCGCUCGGGAGCGCGGUGUGGGGGACGGCGAUCGUGGGGGCGAUGGUGCACUUGGUGUGCGGGUUCGCGCGGUACGCGUCGUACACGCACGCGAUGGUGGACGGGUGCGCGCUGGCGGCGGCGGCGGCGGAUCGGGCGCUUUCGCGAGGAGACGCCGCGGUGUGGGCGCUCGUACGACCGUUCAUUCGGCUCGCGUUGCUCACGCGCGUGUGCGCGGCAAGUGCGCUCUGCAUGGACGCCGGGACGUGGGCGGUGCUGAACGGGAGAGGCGUGCGAGGUGUGUUUCAUCGACUCGAGCACGCCGGCGCGGUGAACAUCGCGGUGUGCGUCAGCGUGGGAAUCAUUUCUCUCGGUCCCGUCGCGACGGCGCAACACCGGCUCGGCGCGGAAAUUCUCACGCGUUACUUUCACGUGAGAGUCGACGAUGAGGUUCUUCGCGCGAUCAAACGCAUGGAACAGGUGUUCGCCGCCGCUGCCGCGGCGACGGCGUUCAACGCCUUGUUCAACCUCACGCGCCGAUCAUUACUCGGUCGUCCGCUGCAAGGAAUCAUCGAAACUCUCGAGUAUCACGCCAAGCAGGUGUUAACCGACUUGGAGUUACGACCUGGUGAGGUGCAAUCUUUGGACAUCGGCGUGUUGGGAUAUGUGCUCGACAAGAUGAGCCACAUCGUCAAACGAAACGAAUCCGACAACGGCGGACCGGCGCUCAUCGAAGCCAUUCUGGAAGAUCACGAAGACGUCGACGGACGCACUCGCGAAUGGUUGGUGAGUUACGAAGCGAGUAACGUCAAAUAUGGAAAAUCAGCGUCGGUGAAUUCGCAAGGAGUGAACGUGUUCAAGUCGGUGGUUUCAUCCUUUGCGCGCAUGUCAGACGCCGGGGGGCCGUAUCUGAGCGUCGACGGGGACGCGCUCAACUCUUGGUCGUUCGAUGUGUUCACCGUAGGGGAAAACAAGGAGCUAUUUCCGUACGUCGUGCGCAUGUUUCACGAAAUGAACAUGUUUGAGCUCGUCGAUCAGUUCAAGUUUCGUCGCUUCUUAUCUGAGGUCGAAGGCAUGUACCGGGAUAAUCCGUACCACUGCUUCAAGCACGCCGUCGACGUCACGCACACGACGUAUUUAUACAUUUGCGCGGUGAAAGAGCAAGUCAGUAUGACGCAAGUAGAAAUAUUCUCUCUCCUCGUUGCCGCUUUGGUGCACGAUUUGGAUCAUCCCGGGGUUACGAACGGGUAUCUCAUCGCCACGCACGAUAACAUAGCGCUGACGUACAACGACGAGAGCGUGUUGGAGAAUCUUCAUCUCUCGCGGUUCUUUUCUUUGUGUCAAAACAACGAAGACGCAAACAUUCUCUCUGCAUUUGACGAGAGUACGUACAAAGAGAUUCGUCGAUCUAUUAUAAGUUGCGUGCUACACACAGACAUGGCGCAUCACUUCAAGCUCGUCUCGCGAUUGAACGAACUCGUCGCUCUGGGUAAGAAGAACAACAUCAUCAACGGUUCACCGAUGAAAUCGACAGUCAUAACGAGCACUCGUGAUGAUGAUCCGAUAAAUGUGAGCGUGACGUUCAAGACAGACGACGAGCGUCAGCUGAUGCUGAAUGUUCUCCUGCACUGCGCGGACAUCUCCAACGCCGUCAAGCCAAACGAGCUUUGCGUCAAGUGGGCAUCGCGGGUGCUGGAAGAGUUCUUCAAUCAAGGCGAUCGCGAACGUUCAAGAGGAAUGUCGAUCAGUCCUAUGAUGGAUCGCGAGACCACGUCGGUGGGGCUAUCGCAGAUAAACUUUAUUGAGUUUGUUAUCGCGCCUCUCUACGUGCAAUUUGUGGCGGUGUUCCCAGCCCUGAACGGCCUCUUGACGCGACUGAUCGAAAAUCGUCGAUACUAUCAGGAGACGUAUGAAAACGAACUCGCCGACAUGACUAAAGGCGAUGGCACCGAUCGCUCUCCAGAGAAAGAAUCACUUCGCGCGCGAUUCCGCACGCUCAUCGAAAAGCACUCGCUGCGUCGCUUCGUGGAUGAAAGCGAUAAUCUCAUGAAGGCCAUUCUAUCGCUUCCACACACGCGACGGUCGAGCGCGACUCGUUCUUUCAACGCGAUGCUUUCAUCGCCGUCGAAGAAGAAAACGAUGUGAACGCAGACGAUAUUUCUAUUGCGCUGCGUUUUGAGUUUGCAUUGUCAAUGCAAAAUGUCUUUUCAUGUCCUCUCGUGUCCCGCACUCCUUUGUUAGCGUGUUGACCUCGUCCCAUCGAGCGCGCGAGUUAACGGAUUCGGCCUAAGGACGCGACUUCGAAAAGCGAACAACCGUUCGAAACGUUCUCGUCGCCGAGAGAUCGCGUUCGCGGUCGCGCGUCGUGGUCACGUCUCGAAAUGAGCGAUCGAUUACCUCAGUCUGCAGCGCGUCAACGGCGCGCAUGACGCCCGCGCGACUGACGCGAGCGGGCACGAGGCGCGAGCACAGCGACUAUCACACUUCUCCGCGAUCGCGAGCUUCAAACGCGCGCGACACUCGCAAUGAAACGCGCGUCAGUAUGAAACUCUCCGACGAUGCCGCACCAGGCAGCAUCGCGAGCGUCCGCGCGUCGACGCGUGCGUCGCGCAAGCGGUCGAGAGACGUCGUAAUUGAGUCGGCGCAAUUGUUCGUAAAAUCGUCGCGUCGCCGUGCGGCGGUUUCGGACGACGAGGACGAAUCAGACGUCGUCGCGACGGUUCGAGCCGCGGACGGCGGCGACGACGCGACGCCCCCGGCGAGGCGGGAGACUCCUGUCGAAUCUUCCUUGGUGUGCGCGCCGCGCACGCGACGUGAAACCAAAGACCACGCUUUUCGCAAAGCUAACGAGGCGCAGAGCGCGUUGCUCGGAACGCUCUGCGAGGAUGCAUUGUGGAAAGUGUGCGAGUUCCUGCCGGCGAAGGACUUGGCGUCGUUGGAGUGCGCGAGCUCGUAUUUCCAUCGCCCUAUGCGACGCGCCGAUCGAGGACUAGGGAUCGCCGAGCGCGUCGCUAGAGUACGUAUCAGAGGCGCGCAGAUGGCCGACAUGCCGCCAUUUUACAGGUAAGAAUCCGUCAAAGAUUUCCUCGGUCAACUCGACCUUGUCGCAAAGCUGGCGCGCGUUGACUAACACUUGCUCUUCGCUUGGCUCUAGGAAACUUUCGUGGAAGCGAAAGCUUGAAAUAUUUGAAAAGCGAGCGCAACCAUUGAGCGCAAACGAACUAAUUCCGGGGAUGUGGGUCAGGGUCAAGUCCGACACGGAAGAGGUUAAGCGCAUGUGCACCGGCGCAGACAAGGGUGUUUUCGGCUACCCGGUCGGAUGGGAGCCUGGGAUGGAGGAGACGUGUGGGAAGUGCUUUCGAGUGUGCGUCGUGAGUCUCGAUUACAGACAGACGCCUGUUGUCGGCUUGUCCGUUUCUGGCGGACUCGUAGCGAUUUCCCGCGGAAAGACGCCGACCUAUGGCUGGUACUUCCCAUUCGAGUCGUUGACGCAUCUGUAAAUGUUCGCUGGAAGCAUCUUUUGUAUUAAUACGCUAAAAAUCUGCUGCUAGUCAAGUCAAUCAACGCAUCACCAAACUAAAUCGUUUCACCCGUGGCCUUCUCGUAUUGCGUCUUGAGAGCGACGACGAGACGCCAAUCAUCCUUCGUCAAUUCUUCACGGAAGCUUUCCUUCAACAUGUCGAUCGACUCGCGCGUCAUUCUCGAUACGAGCUGAUCUUUAUGAUCAAAAUGGCGACCGUAAAGUCGCGAAGAUUCACUGGGCGUUCUCGGUUCGAUCUUCAUCGCCACAGAUUGACCGGCAGUUGCCUUCUUCACCUCCUUGUGGUUGAGUUCCAUCGAAGCAAUCUUACCAAUGUCGAUGUAACCUUGCGAUGGGAUGCAAAUUUGCGUCCCCACGCGAGCGACCCCCUUGACAAUGUCAACACCAACGACGAUGGGAUCGCGCUUGUUGAACACGCAGUUGGGCAUGAUUUGCAAGAUGCAAGGGAAGUUGACGUGCUGCGACGCGGCUUCACGCUUGUCUGCCUUGACCUUUUCCAUGUACGCCGUGAAUUGAUCAAACAAGUGGUAGAUGAUGUCGGCGGUGAAGAUGCGAACGUUGAGCUCUUCGCCCAUUGCGUGCGCCUCCUUCGUCACCGGCACGUCAAAAGCCAGAAUAGUAGCAUACUCGGGCUUUUUGCGCUCGUGCAUGACGCUCGCACCCAUGACGUCCCGUUUGUUUACCGGGCCAAUGGCGAUGCCGGCGACGGGAAUUUUGACCGCGUCAGAUUUCAAGAACUCCAACAAGGCUUCCAAAGAACCGAGCGUAGACGCCUGCACGUACACGCCUUCGCCACUCUUAUCAACACGAGCAAGCACGCCCUUCAUAUCACUUAAAACCUCUUCCCUGAGUUCCAUUUCGUCGUCUUCAGGAUCGAGCACCAAAAGAGACGUACCUGCGACAGCUUUCUCUAAUCCAGUGGCGACGAUCUUGAUCCCUUGAGCGCCUUCGAUUUCCUUGUGAUGAAUGUAGCUUCCCUUCACCCGCAUCUCUCGCAUGGGCUGCGGUGUAAGUAAUGCACGAAUUUGAGUCGUAAUCGCCCCCUCUAACCCAGCAACGACGAUUGUCUGUCCUUCCUUGAGCUUACCGUUGAUGAGAAUGACGUCAACGCUCGUACCGAGACCUUCGAUCAUCUUCACUUCAAGCACGGUACACUGUACGGCAGGCACGUAUUGAAUGCGCUCGUUCAUGCGAUUUUGGCACAAGUCAACAAGCGUUUGCAAAAUGUCCGGCAUCCCCUCACCCGUAAUAGCAGAGGUUGGGAUGAUGUUGAUGAAAGUACGUGGGUCCGGGUUCUCCCAGUACUUCGCCACGUUCAAACCUUGCUCAGCAAACUCGAUGACGAUCUUGUCGUAACGAUCUUGGAACUCGCGUCGAGCGUGAUCCUUUUGUAAGGACAAAGUCUCCUGUGUUGGGAAGUUGGUAUUUUCCGUCCAGUCGUACAUGCGAUCGAUUUUGUUGAGCGCAAUCACAAAAGGCGUCUUUCGCGAUCGAAGCAUGUUCAACGAUUCUAUCGUUUGCGGCUCUAAGCCGUGCAUGAUAUCAACGACGAGAAUGGCGAGAUCACAAAGUGACGAACCUCUCGAACGCAAGUUUGUGAAAGACUCGUGUCCUGGGGUAUCGAUAACGAGCAAACCGGGAACUCGCAAGUCCCAUUCACCCUUGUUUAGCUGCGCCGUUCGCUCGAGGAGAGACUCCUUGGGAAUAAAAGUCGCACCAAUUUGCUGCGUAAUACCGCCAGCUUCUCCGUCUUGGACGUUGGUUCGUCGAAUGUUAUCCAAUAUCUUCGUCUUACCGGUAUCAACGUGCCCCAUGAUGCAUAUAAUUGGGCAACGAAGCUUGCUUGGACUGCGCUUUGCCUUGGCCAACUCGAAGCGUGCCAAACGCGCAAUCUUUGCCGCCUCCAUGCGCUCUUCGUGUUCACGUUGACGGACGUCAUCGCUAUCCUCGCGGUAAUCCGAGCUAUCGGAGUACUCAGAGCUGUCGCUGUCGGAAUCAGAGUCAGAAUCAGAGCCAGAAUCAGAGCCAGAUCCUUCGUCAGAUUCUUCGUCAGAGCCCGAAGCGUCAGCAGCUUCCUUGGCUGCGGCGGCCUUUUCCUUGGCUUCCUUGGCCCACGGCUUUUCAGCCGCAAUCUUCGCCUUGAUCGCCUUCUCCGCCGCGAAUUUGGCCGCAGCCUCAGCCGCUUUCUUCUCCGUCUCGUGACGUUUCUGCUCGGCGGCCUCUUUCUCCGCCUUUUCCUUAGCCAAGCGCUCCUCCUCUUCUUUCUGACCCGGAAGGAUAAUCUCCUUGUCGUCCCAGUCUUCCGCUUCCCAGUCAUCGGCAGCGUCGUCAUCUUCAGCUUCGGCGGCGAGUCGGGCUUCUUCUUCAGCUUUAGCCUUCGCUUCAGCCUCAGCACGCUCUUGUUGUUGCUUUCGACGCUCUUCCAUCUCUUUCUUCUUUUUGCGAUCGUCGUAAACCGGACGUUUCGGCUUGAUAACUUCGUCGAGUUUAUCUGCGUCAAUCCCAGACUUGGCUAACAUUUGCUGGCGCAUCGCGGCUAAACGCGCUUGUUCCGCCUUUUGCUUGUUGCUGAGAAGUUUGCCUUCGGCACGGAGGCGCUCCUUCUUCUCCUUCUCUUUUUGUUUCUUUGCCUCGCGACGCGCUUCCUCCUCUUCUUCUUUUUGUUUCUCAAGACGUUCAGCCUCCUCCGCCGCGGCUCUUGCCUCGGCUUCAGCUUUGGCUUGAGCCUCUUCCACCUCCUUACGCUUUUGCAUUUCUGCUUGAAGGGCGAGAAUUCUCGCACUUGGCGCGCCGGCAGACUUUUGCUUCUUCUCCGCCUCUGCCGCCGCCUUGGCCUUGGCUUCCUUUUCUUUUUGCUUCUUCUUGAGCUUCUUCUUUUGCGACGCCGAAAGCUCUUUGCCAUCUUCAAGCGCAUCGCCGUCAUCAUCAUCAUCAUGAUUAUUGCCAUCGGUAGCAGGCGCCGCAUCGGCGGCAUCACCGCCAGCUGCGGCUUCCGCGGCUUCGCGCUCGGCUUUCAAUCGGCGCUUCUUUGCCGCUUUACUCUCGCCAGCCGGCUCUUCUGGCUUGGCCUCGAUUUUGAUGUCAAGCUCGGCCAAAAGAGCGUCGAGGUCUUCCUCGUCGUCGGCCGCUUGCUUACCACCUUUUUUCUUUUUCUUCUUGUCCUUCUUCGAGCCACCAGUUUCGUUGGCGACGAGUUCGGGUUCGGGUUCGGGUUCGGGUUCGGGCGUCUUUUCCUUCUUCGUCGUCCCGGGCGCUUUCAAAGGCACAUCAUCGCCGAUGGAAAAAGCAGACUUAUCGAGCUCGUACACGCCAUCCGCGCUAUCGGCCCAACCCAUCUCCACCGCGCUGAGAAUCAUACCUUCACUCAUGACGCCGCGCAACGGCGUCUUGUCGAUGACUUGGCCGCUGGCGGGGAUUUUCACGCCGACGCCUGCAAAAAUCACCAACAAACCUUUUCUGGCGUUGGCACCACCGCACACGCACCGUUUCGGUUCGUCGCCGCCGAAAUCGACGGUGCAAACUUGCAGACGAUCCGCCAUCGGGUGCUUGCUGCAUUCGAUGAUCUUACCCACGACGAGUUCGGGUUCGGCGACGAGCUUUUUCUUUUUCUUCUUUUUGAGAUCAAUCGCGACUUCCACCGCCGCGGCUUCCUCGUCGGCAUCCAUGAGAUCGGCAAAGCUUCCCUUCUUCUUCUUCUUUUUGUCUUUCGUGUCCGCGGUGCGAGACUCCGAGGCUUCUUCGUCGUCCUCCGCGUCCUCGUCUUCGUCGUCCGCCAUCAAAGCCGCGAAGCCGCCCUUUUUGGAUUUCUUCUUUUUAUCCUUCUUCGGCUUGACAUCCGCCUCCAUCUCCUCUUCCUCGUCGUCAUCAUCGCCACCACCCAUCAACGGAUCGUUCACGUCGUCGUCCGACCCCAUCAACGCCGCGAAACCACCUUUUUUGGAUUUCUUCUUCUCCUUCUUCGGCUUCGUCGCCGCCGCCGCCGCGCGCACCUCCUCCUCCGACGCGUCGUCCGCGUCAUCCGCGUCGUCAUCCGACCCCAUCAACGCCGCGAAACCUCCCUUUUUAGACGUUUUCUUCCCCUUCCUCGGUUUCACCGCGCGCGUCUCCCCCUCGUCCGCCUCCUCUUCGUCCGCCUUCUUCGCCGCCGCCGCCAGAGGGUCCAAAUCCUCGUCCGAGUCCUCCCCUCGUCCUCUCCCGCCCCGCCCGCCCUUGCCCUUCGCCGCCUUUCGCGCCUUUUUCAUCUCCGUCUUCGACAUCGCUCUCGCGCCGUCGUCCGCGUCUUUCGCGCCGUCGUCGCGCGUCGCCGUCGCCGUCGCCGUCGCCGUCGCCGUCGCCGCCGAGGGAUCGACCCCGUCGUCGUCGUCGCUCGAAUCGUCCCCUCGCUUGCCCUUGCGCCCGGCUCGCUUGCCCUUCGCCAUCGCGCGGCGCGCGGGAACGUUCUCUCUCGCGCGCCGUCCGUCGUCGGCGCGCGCUCGCGCGUCGCGCGCGCGUCGCGGUGUGUCCAUCGCGCCGUCGCAUCUUUUAAACGUCGAGACAUCGCGACGCGCGCGCGCGAUGCGCGCCGACGCGCGCGCGCUCGGCGGCGACGACGACGCGCGCGACGUCGCGCGCGACGUCGACGACGGCGACGCGACGCGCGCGAUGGCCGACGCCGACGCCGACGCCGACGACGCGCGCGAGGACGCGACGACGACGACGACGACGACGCCGCCGACGAACGAACGACGCGACGCGCGCGAGCGCGCCGGCGACGUCGCGCGCGCGUCGCUCGCGAUCGCGCUGCUCGCGGUCGCCCUCGCGAGGCUGCGACGGUGGGCGAGGGGCGACGGCGACGCGCGCGGCGGCGCGCCGGGACGCGUCAGCAGGCGCUUCGCCGCGCGGCACAGGAAGUGUAAUCGAUGCGGCGCGCGCGGGUCGGCGGUCAAGGUGAAGUGCGAGCGGUGUAAAAGGUGCUGGUACUGCUCGCAGACGUGCAAGAAAGCGGCGUGGGCGCUGGAAAUUUGCGAGUGUUGUUGACGCCGGCGCCGGCGGCGCGGCGUUUGAAAUCGCGCGCGCGGCGUCGCGCGACGCGUGAACGAUCGCGUGCUCGUGCAUUGUAAUCGUCGCGAACGCGAAUGCGUCUAAAUGCGUCGCGUUUCUGCGUUCACCGAGUGCGUUUCACGGCUCGACGCGUUCGCGUUCGCGUCGGCGCGCGCGUUCGCGGCGUCGCGAACCGACCCCCCCUCCGAGCGCCGCGGCGCGCCGCACAUCGCCGCGUCGAGCCAUGAGCGACAAGAUCGUCGAGGCGCAGAAGGUGCGACGGACGACGCGCGCGCUUCGCGACGCGCGAAAACGGCGCGACGCGCCAUCGCGACGUCGGAUAAAGCGUCAACGAUUCGAUCGCGACGCGCUAGGGCUCGACCGCGAGCGACGACGCGCGCGCGGACGACGCGCGCGCGACGCGGACGACGACGCACCUCGAGGCGCGCUAGCGCUCGACCGAACGACUGACGAGACGCGCGCGCGGCGUCGCGGCGCCGCUCGACAGUUUUUUCAAUCCCGAAAGGGAUUCGUGCACCUGAAGCGAGGCGGCGUCGAUCGCGUCACGAGCGUGUUGAUACCCGUCGGCGCGGUGUGCGUCAUGAGCGCGAUGCUCGCGAAAGGUGCGCGAAACGUCAAAGCGCGGCCCGUCGACGCGCGUCGACGGCGCGACGGAAGCGCUUCCGUCGGUGGUUUCGAAGACGCGACGGAUGGGCGAGCGGGACGGGACGGCGAGACUGACGACGACGGAUCGACGCGCGAUCGAUCGCAGGCGUGAUGGAUCUCACCACGGGGCGAAAUAAGAAGGAAGGGUUCUGAUCGCGAUCGACGCGAACGAUCGAGGGCGUCGAGCGACGCGUUGUAAUUACAAUCGACUAGCGUAACCGAACGGCGCGACGGACGACGACACACCUCGACGCGACGCGACGUCGAUGCCGUCCGACGUCGUCGCGCGCGCGUGAAGGCGCGCGGGGAUGUCGACGCGCGCGAAAUCGAUCGCCGCGGCGACGCUCGGCGUCGUUUUCGUCGCGCUGUGCGCUGUGCGCGCUGAUGGAUUCGCAAUCGAGCCGCGGUGCGUCGACGACGCGCGACGCUACGACGACGUCACGCGACGCGCGCUGACGACGCGGGCGACGUGCGCGGACAUCGCGCGCGGCGCGGAGGCGCUCGAAGCGCUCGGAGCGUCGACGUGCGGUGCGGUGGGCGCGCGCGCGCGAUUUCUGGCGGCGAAGCUCAACGCGGCGACGGGCGCGUGGGACGACGCGAAGCGCGCGCUCGCGGGCGACGAGACGAGCGAAUUAUGGAAAACAAUAGAUGAGAUGUCGCGCGCGGCGCGGGUGGGGUCGGAGGCGGGAAGACGAGGGGAUUGGGUGAAGGCGUACGCGGCGGCGAACGCGGCGGUUGAGGCGAGCGCGUGCGCUUUGGAUCCGAGGACGUUUCAAGCGCGCGCGCGCGCGGCGUUGAAGUUGGCGAUGCACGGAAGGGCGUUCGUGGAUGCGAAACGCGCGCUCGCGCUGGGGGGGGGGAAGUCAGAGGCGUACGAGACGAUGGCGACGGCGUUGAGCGAGUUGGCGGAUUCCGCCGAGCGGUUAGCCGACGCCGAGACGCUGGCGCGGCGUUGUUUGCGGUACAGCCCGGACAACGUCGAGUGUUUGGUAGUUAGAAAAAAUAUUAGGCGAGCGCUGUUGGUUUGGCGCGAAGCGAGCGAUGCGGAAUCGCUCGGGGAUUGGAGUUCGGCGAUCGACGCUCUGAGGGAGCUGCGAAACGCGACGCGCGGCGGCGCGUUUGAGGCGUUGAAAUUCGACGCGCUCGUCGCGUCGUGUCGCGUGAAUGGUAAACGAGAACGCGCGCGUUGGGAGACCAGCACGACGAGAAAGAGGGUUCCCGCCAAACUCGUCGCGGAUGCGAUCGAUCAGUGCACAGACGCGUUGUCCGAGCUCAUGUCGCGCUGCGGCGAAAGUCGCGUCGACGACGUCCCGAAUUCGUAUUACGCUCGCGCGUGGAUGCGCGCGCUGAGCGCGAACGUAGAUGGUGCGAUGGCCGACGUAGCGGGGAUUGAACGUUCGGUAGAUGUAUCGUCCGACGAUUGGAAGGCGAACGUUGAGGCGUUGCGAAAAGCCAUCGAAGAGGCGCGCGAAGCAAACGCUCCAAAGGAUUUAUACGCGAUUCUGGGAUUGACGCGCGAAGAUGCACAAGCGGAAGAUUGGCUUCGUGUUUUGAAACGUGCGUACAGAAAGCUGGCACUACUAUUACAUCCCGAUAAAAAUCCGGCGGUCGAUAAAGAGGAGGCGGAGGAGAAAUUCGAUGAACUCGUCAAGGCGUACAAGAUUCUGUCAAGCGAGACGCUUCGUCGCGAAUACGACGAGACCGGCAAGGUGAACUUGGGCGUUGACGCGCAAGCGACGAACGACUGGUUCGACAGUCACGCCGAUAGCCGUCGCACGAAUGACGGUCAACCGCCAAACGAUGGACUUAACGAGGAUGAUUACAUCUUCCGGUUUGAUAAGCGCGACGCCGGGGCGGAUGGCCGAGCGGCUGGUCAGUACGUGCACAAAGAAACGGGCGAACGGGUAUUCGGUGAACGCGACGUGCGCCCAGAAGAAGAUCAACAGGACGACGUCUGUGCGAAGAAAAAAGGAUACUGCAUCGCCGGACGAGGCGGCGCCGAGGCUCCGUCGCGCGCCAAGCACGUUCCGGGGGUCGAAUCGCUCGAGGUGAAAAUCGUUACGCCGAAUCUGCUCCCGGGAGAUACCGUGGCGGCGAGGCUCGUUCGAAACAUCUUUGGACUUCACAAGCUUGAGUUCAUCUUUGCUUUUGACGUCGAGUUACCGAGCGAAGAAGUUCGCGACAAGACUUUUCAAGACGCAGCGAAAACGCGUUUGAGAAGACUCGUGCGUACCCUGCACGCGUCCCUCGUCGGCCGCGACGGGGCGUCGACGCUCACGAGCAUGAUUGAAGAGCACAUCGUGAGUUCGUCGUCUUCAGAAGACGAUUCGAUCGUAGACUACGUGGCAUCCGCGAUGAGCGGUCGCGCACCACGCGUCGGAUCGCCUCACGAGACGCGGGAUCUUCUGGAUCGCUUUGCGUCGCGCGCCACGCGCGAGAUGAGACGGCUCGGCGCCUUGGGACUCAAUUCCGACGAUCGCACCGAUAAUUUCGUGCGCGUCGCGCGUGACUUGAUGUUCAACCCCUUGGUAUCGUCUCACUUGCUCUCAUUCACCGCCGACGACGCCGAAGACGCCUCACAGGUUCGAAGUCUCGUCGCCCUCUGGCGCGACGACGUCCCCAGCCGCGUCCUCGUCGACGGCGACGUCCUCUCCUACGAAAUCAAAUUCGUCGAUUCCGACAAGUCUCCCGACGCCGUGCGAGCGAUGUGCGCCACCUUAGACUUCGAAACCACCGCGGGCGACCGCCUCAGCGCCUUCCCCGACGCCAUCGAUCAAUUCGGCCUCGCCGCCGCCGUCGCCGCCGUCAAUUUCCGCGACGUCCUCGCGCGAGACGCCGUAAACGGUUGGAUCUCGCGUCGCAUCCCCAUCCCUUCCGGCCUCAUCGGCGCGCGCGUUUCGUCCUGGUUCAUCGUCGCCGCCCGCAUCGACGCCGGUCGCGCGUCCACGCGCGUCCGCGAGGUCAAAAUCAUCAACGCCUUCGCGGACGCCGACGACUUCGCCAUCCUCGAGCCGCGCGGACCCUGAAACGUCAUUCCAAUUCAUUCCGUUCGCCCAUCGCGUCACUUCGCGUCGCGUCCGCGGUCGACCGGCGUCCCGAUCGCGCGCGAUGCACGUCGCCCUCGCGAACCUCGCGCUGUGCCCGCGCGCGCGCGCGUCGUCCGUCGUCGCGCGCGACGUCGCGAGCGGUAGGUCAACUUUCGCGGGCGUCCCCGUCGUCGUCGCGCGCGCCGCGCGCGCGCCGAGCGCCCCGCGCGCGCGCGGGAUGACGCCCGUCACCGCGCGGUUCGGCGGACGCGGCGGACGCGGCGGCGGCGGACGCUCGUUCGGUGGACGUGGACGCGGCGGGGGCGGGCGCGGGCGAGGCGGACGCGGACGAGGUCGCGGACGACCGCAGAUGGACCGAGGACCGAUGCGAAACGAAGACAUCGAGUUCGAUGAAUUGCGGGUGCUGGACGAGGAUAAAGAGAUGCUCGGGGUGAUGUCCACGGACGAGGCGCUGGAACUCGCGGCGGAGAAGGAAUUGGAUUUGGUGGUCAUGAGCCCGGACGCGGAGCCGCCGUUGGCGCGAAUCAUGAAUUACUCAAAGUACAAGUACGAAAAGGAAAAGAAGGAUCGGGAGGCGAGGAAGAAGGCGGCGGCGGUGCGCGUGGACAUCAAAGAAUUGAAAAUGAGGUACAACAUCGAUACGCACGAUUACGGGGUGCGACUGAGGGCGGCGCAAAAGUUUUUGGAGGGCGGGGACAAGGUUAAGGUGAUUUGUCAGUUUCGCGGGCGCGAGAACGACUUCCGGGAGAUUGGGCGGGAGAUGUUCGCUCGAUUCGUAGAGGACGUUGGCGAGGUGGGCUCGCUCGAGAGCAAGCCUAGCAUGGAAGGGAACUCGAUGACGAUGUUACUCGCACCCACGGUCGCCAAGGGCGACAGCAAGUAACGAGUCGCGCGCGCGUUUGGAUAUCGUAAUUUUUAAGACACCACACAAAAGAAAUUAUUGUUUUUUUAUUCAACGAUGAAUCCCGAAUGGGUCGCGCUAAAAUGUACACUUUCAUUCGUUCACGCAUUCGCGAUGCGUUUUGGCGGCAGACCGCUCGGAAACGCCUGUUCUCCUUCGCCCGGGAGCACCGCUUCGGCGAACAUUUCGACUUGCAACUUUGCGUUACUCAGCACGGCUUGCGUGAUGUGUCUACAGGGUCGAUGUUCUCGCGUGAUGCCCGCAUCGGAGAAAAAUCUGUCCCAGAUAUCACACACCGCUUCCAUUUCUCGGAUGUCUUUGAGGUGAAUUUUCACUUGCAGCAAGUGAGCGACGUCAGUGCCGGCCAUCACGAGGAGUCUGACCAAAUUAUCAAACACACGGCGCAUUUGUCCCGUGAACGUGGGUUCGACCACACCGCCACAAGUAAUACCAGAAAGCCACACUUGUCGUCCCCAGGUGACAACUGGAGAGCAAUCCAAGCCACCAGGAUUGUGGUACACGACCUGCGUGUUUGCGUCUGGCGCGUGCAACGCCAGCGCUCCACGCCCGGCGCCACGACGACGAUCGCCACCUUGUGACGUACCGCUUUCUAACACCGCAAUUCGAUCCUCGUACUGAACGUUCGUUCGCGUUGCGAUUUCAUGCGAGCGCGCAAGCUCUUCGUGCGAGCGCACGAGUUCUUUGUGCGCUGCAGAAAGUUCUUUGAACGAGUUUACGAGUUGCUGGAAAUUUUUCACCUCGACGAUUUCGUUACCCGGUAACGCGUCGUCCAGCUCACGCGUCAUUCUCUUCACUGGAACCAAGGCAUGCGUUUCAUCCUCCGCAGUAACGCUCGCAGCUCGAGAUCUCUUACGUCUGCUCGGCGGCUCAACGGGGAUGGGAAUCGUCUUGUGCUUCAUCCUCAUGUGCGUGCACAAACCCCUAUGUUGCUUCGCUUUGAACUCGCACUCUGGACAUUGGAGUUGGUCCGUUAAAAUUUCCAUGUGUUUGGUACUAGAAUGGACUCCCUUGUCGUGGACUACCGUCUCAUCCACUUCCUCCAUGUCAGUCUGAUUGAGUGCCACCCGAUCUUCGAUGACGGCUGCCGCCGCAAUCAGUUCAACGUUGUGUUCUUUCUUGUAGUGCGUGCAAAGCUGUCUGAACGACUUGCAUUUGAAAUCUCCAGCCGCACACUCGUCGCAAAACCGAACGCCAGGAUCCAUCUCUUUCGUGCGAGGAGGUCCCGGGAAACUAACUCCGACGUUCAGGGGCUCUUCUUCGAGUGGUGAGGUUUGGGGGUGCUUCAACUUGCAGCUGCGCAGAUGAGCUGCAAACCCUGCAUUCCAGAAACCCGUGUACGUCUGACAGUACUCGCACGUUAUCUGCGUCUUUUUCGAUUUACCACUCGGACGAUCGGUAUCUCUCGUCUCAUGUGUGAGCUUAUUCGGUUUUGACAACGAAGGUUUCGGCUCUGAAGUUGGCAACGACGCAUCACUCGACGAGUUCAUCAACGCCUCCGCCUCUUUAAACUCUUUCGCGGUAAUGAAUGCCCGUACAUUGUGCGCGUCUUUGUAGUGAGCGAUCAGCCCUGAAUUGUUUGGAAACUUGGCCGAGCACUCUGCACAACUUCUUUGCGUGUGAAAGAUGCGUAAGAUUGUCGUUUCUGUUUGCGGUCGAACGGACUGUUCUUCGACGGCAGGCUCGUCGCCGGGUGACUCUCCUUGUGCAGACUGUUUACCAAUUCGCGUGACUUUAACGCCGUGUUCCACCUGCAUGUGUCGCACUAAAUCAUCGAAAGAAGUACCUUUGAACUCGCAACCGCUUUCUUCUCGAAGUAAACAUUUUCUACUCUUCGCGCCGACGGAUAGCUCUUUGAGCGGCGUGUGAGCUUCAGACGCAAUUUUUGGAGGCGCCUUAUCUGUUGCCUUCGUGACCACUUGGGCAUUAGGGACGCUCGUAGCGGCUGAUUUCGCUCCUUUGCACCAUCGCGCUUUGUGCGUCACGAGCCCGGCUGGCGACUUAACUGAAACUCCACACACAUCGCAAGCCGUCGAAUGAUUGGUGACGAUGACAGACGCUUGCGUUUUGUUUUUCUUCUCUACCGCACCAGCGGUCAAAGGCACGAUUAGUUCGCCGCGAUGCUUCAUCUUGCUCUGAUGUAUUUUUAGCGAGUGCGCAUUCUUGAACGACUUUCCACACUCAGUGCACGCACAUUCCUGCGACUCGUUCGUAGACUUGUCGAUGUCACGACCUCUGCUCGCUGCUCGCUCGUCUUCGUCGUCGAUACCUACGGUGUAACGCGAAGGUCUCGCGGCUGUUCGCCGCUUUCGAUUGGGUUCAGUAGACUCGUUCGCAGUCAGCUUGUCGUCAACAUUCGAUACGUCGUCAAAAAGAUUUUCAGGUGUCUUGAGAAGCGCAGCCUUGUUCGCUGGUCGAUCAUCAUCGCUGUCUGCGUUGUGCGUAGCCUCUGCUUCAGCACGAUGCUUCACUGUAUCGCUUCUCGGCCCAUCGUCGUCGGCGUCGCUGUCGCGAUCCGUCUCAUCCUUGUCGUUCUCGUCCUCCAUCACGAAUGCGCUCACCAUCUCGGCUUGGUCCAUGGCGGGUUGCUCGGCCCAAUACUUUUCGACGUGCUGCUGAUACUCGGCGAAAGUCUCUUCGGGCUUGGCGCUGCAGUAACUCACGACGUGUUUCUUGAACGCGAGGUAUCCGUUAAACUUUUUCUGCGCGCCGCAAAAGCAACACUCGAUAUCCUUGUAGAUCUUGUACUCUCUGUUACCGUCCGGGCUCAUCUGGUCGACCCCGCGCGGCGUCGGCACUUCAACAUCUAUCGUCGUCGGACUCGAAACCGCGAGCGCUGGUGCCGGCGUGCGCGCCGGCGCCUCGUUCGCGACUUCGCCGUCCUUCGUCGUCUUGUCGCUAUUCGGACUUCCAUUCGCGCCCUGCCCCGGGCUCCGCGCCGGCGUCGCCGUCUGCACCUCGUUCCCAUCACCCGCGCCCGCGUCCACUUUCCCAUCGCUCACCACCGCCGCGACCUCGCUCGCGGGCGGUUGACCCGGUAAACCUCCCUCCGCCGACAUCGCGCCGUCGCGUCGACCUCCGCGCUCGCCUUCGCCGUCCUCCCCGCGUCGAUUCGACCGUCUCGAUCGAGUCCUGCGCGCGUCCGCGUCGUCAGUCAUCCCAUCGCGCGCGCGUUCCGUCGUUCCGACCCGCGCGCGCCGCGCGCCGCGCGCGUCGACCGCUCGCGCGGGUCGAAAUUCUCCAAUUUCAACCUCCGACCGAUUCCCCGCGGUGUUCCGCGCGUCGCCGUCGCGCGCCCGACCGUCGCGCGCCCCCUCGCCCGCGCGCGAUCGCCCGCGCGCGAUCGCCCGCGCGCGUCCGCCCGCGCGCGCGGCGCGUCUCGCGCGCGCGCGACCGCGCGAGCGCUCGACGACGCGCAUUUGACCUCGCGACCGCGGCGACCGCGCGCGCCGAUGCGCCGCGCGCGCGCGCGCGAGAUCGAUGCGUCGCGCUCGCGCGCGCGAAGACGUCGGUCGUGAUCCGUACCUCGCGUUGGAUUCGCUCGCGGGGCGCGCGCGCGCGUCGAGGAGUGCGCAUUGGGCGCGCAUUCGAUGCGGAGACGACGAGACGCCGCGAGGCGUCGCGCGAAGCGUCGCGCGAGGGCGAACGCGCGCGACGCGGCGACGACGAGAGGGAACGACGCGUCUGGACGACGCGGCGCUGAUGAUGAUGCGUGACUAGUGAGAAAUCUAGCGCUGGCUAAGAGCGCGCGCGGGCGGCGGCGGUUGGGACGCGCGCUCGCGAACGACGCGACGCUUGCGAACGCAGCCGCAACAGGAGGUUUCCUCCUCGACGGUUUCGACGAACGGCGACGGGUCGCUCGGACCCGGUGCGGUCGGCGCGGGAUCGCUCGCGGGAUUGAGCUCGGACGCGGCGUCGGCGUGGAGCUUGGCGCGGGCUUUGGCGGCCCAUCGGUCGAGGGAUCGCGCGCGCGCGAACGGCUUGGCCGCGUCGUCGGCGGCGUUCGUCGUCUCGGCGUUCGUGGUGGUGGUGGUGGUGGUGGUGGUCGUCGAUCCAUCGGUGAGAUCGAGCUUCGUUCGCGCGACUGGGGUAUCCAGAAACGACAGCGCGCGCGGCGUCGCGGGCGCGCGCGCGUCCGCGGUCGCCGGUGCGAACUCGAAGCUCGCGUCCGCGUCCUCCGUCGGCGUCGCCGCCGGCGUUCGUCGUUUGUUCUCGCUCACCGCGCUCAGCUCGUUCGGCACCAAUCGCUCGCUCAUCGUCUCACGCUCGCUCACGGACGCCCUGCCGUCCCCCGGGCGGUUCAAAGGCGUCGCGCCCUCGCCCCGCCGUCGAACCGACGCGUGCGCCUUGACGCGCUGCGCCUCGACGCGCGCCGCGUACGCGUCGUACUCCUCCAACGCCGCCGACCCAUUCUUCGCCACGUACGCGUGAAACCAUCGCAAUAAAUUAUUAUUUUCCUACGUUCGCAAACGCCCCCCGCGCGGUCGAUCGAUCGAUCGUCAGUCGCGCGUUCGCUCGCGCUCGCGCCUCGCGCUCGAAUCCCAACCGCCUCGACUCGCCCGCGCGUCGUCGUCGUCGCCCGAUCCGAUCCCCGUCUUCACCGACGCCGUCCAUCGCCCCCAAACGCGAGCGCGACUUCCAUCCCACGCUUCCCGCGCCUCGCUCGUCGCGUCGCGUCGUCGUUUCGCGCACCGUGAACUUCCCCUUGGCCAACGCGUCGAAAUCCACGUCGACGCGCGUCCCGAGCGCGCGCAUCGUCUGCGCCAGCACCCGCACGUUCCGCUCGUUAUCCCCGACGAACCGCGCGUUGAAAUCAAACCUAUGCAGCGGCACCUUCCCCGGGUGCAUCGCGUCGAGCAGCUGCGCGUACGCGACGCCGUCGCCGCACUCUUGCACCGAGGCGUAAUCGCUCCGAAGCGCGCGAUUGAGCCACGCGACGAGCUCGAGCCGUCCCAUCGAGCGCGACGUCGACGCCGUCGUCGUCGUCGCCGUCGGCGUCGUCGCGCGCGCGGCGCUCGCGCGUCGUCGCGUCGCGGGCGUCGACAUCGUCGUCGAGGAGUGACGCGGACGCCAUUCGCGCGCGCCACCAUGGCGAGCGCGCGCGGGUUCUGCGAACGCUGCGGCGCGCGCCUGCGGCUGACGACGCGCGCGCCCGACGUGCGGUGCGACGCGUGCGGCAGGGCGCGCGCGCUCGAGGACGGUGCGACGCCGACGCGACGACGGACGAAGCGGCGGCGGCGAGGAAAAGCGACGAAAAGAAAGACGCGACGCGACGCGACGCGACGCGACGCGACGACGGUGAACGCGGACUGACGACGCGCGAUGACCGCGAUGACGCCGCAGCGUUCGGGGACGGCGAGCGCGAGCUCACGGCGGGGGCGAGGGAGUUUAAGUUUCAUCACGGCGUCGAGGCGAGACAUCCGAACGGGACGCGCGUGGGCGCGACGGAGGAGGUGACGCGAGAGCGCGCGACGGUGGACGAAAAGUGUCCGAAAUGUAAGCAUAAGGGGUUAAACUUUUACACGAUGCAGUUGAGGAGCGCGGAUGAGGGGCAGACGGUGUUUUAUGAGUGUCCGAAGUGCUCGCACACGUUUUCGCAAAACAACUGAGCGCGGGGACGAGGCGAGGCGACGCCGUGUAGUAAAAGUAGCGACGAAAUUUUGUCAGUGACGCAUCGAAAGCGCGUGGUAGCUCAUCGAAAGCGCGACGCGCGCGGUAAAAAAGGUGUGUGAGUGAUUUUUACAGCGGGAAGAGAGCGCGUGUUCGCGUCGACGUCGUCGUCGCCUACUCCGGGUUACCCCAACUAUUGACAACCUUGCACGAACCGUCGCCACCGUCGGGUCCGUACUGACGCCAGCCCGCGCUUCCUUCCUUGUAAAAGGCGCUCGCGUCGGUGCCGGUACCGUCGGCCAAGGAUGCGUCGCAUCCGUUCGCGUUCCCGCUCGAACCGAUGUGCCACAAGUCGCUCGUCCAGUACUUGUUGACGCCGUCGCACUCGAAUUCCCCGUCGCAUUCCUCCUUGACGUGCUUCCAAUCCGUCGCUUCGUCGUUGAUGUUCGCCUUGUAGAACAAGCACGACAACAACCACGUAUCCUUGCGACAAUACCGCGUCGCUCCCGACGCCGGAACUUGCGCGUGCGCCGCCGCCGCCAAAUCGACCGCGCCCGACUGCGCCAUCGCCGCCGCGUCCGCCGCCAUCUCCUGACCGAACUGUUGCAUCGGUUCCUGUCCCAGCAUCGCGAUCGAGCGCCACGAGCCCCUUUCUUCGCGCUCACCGACGCACAUCAAGCUAAACUUUGACGCGUGUCCGCACGCGUCCAGGUGCGCGUCCCUCGUCAGCCCCCUCGGCGCCGCCAGCGCGAACCGCGAGCUCCCGAGCGCGGCCUCGCUCGACGUCCAACCGCGACCUCUCGCGUACUGCGCUCCAUUCAGCGCCAAGCUCGCGACGAGCGCGCCCGACAGCGCCCCGAUCGUUCGUCGCGCGGUCGACCCGCGAUUUUGGUGUUCGCGCCCUUCGCCCUCGCUCGCCACGUCCAAUCGCAGCGACGCGUCGUCGGCCGCGCGCAGCAGGCUCCCGCGUUCGUCUUCGCUCAUGUCUGCGCGCUUCGCGUCGCGUUCGCGCGCUCGCGCGUUCGCGCGCGCGCGUUUCUGCCGAUCGGCUCUGACUUUUAGUGUUGGCGCGACGGUGCCGUCGGCGACCGACCGCGGCACAUCGCGCGGCAUGGCGACGCCGACGGUGAUCGAGUGCCGCGUGCGCGGCGCGUACUGGCACGUGAAAAACCACCCGAUGUCCGGCGUCACGCUCGUCGGGUGGGCGAGGACGCUCUGGGCGCACGGACGGUCGAUCGAUGCGGUGGCGUUCGCGCCGAGGCUGAUGUUUCUGACGUGCAUGGCGCUCGCGAACACGCUGGCGGCGAUCGCGGACGGCGCGCUGCGCCCGAGGUGGGGUCGGACGAAAGUGCGAGACGACCCGGUGUUCGUGCUGGGACAUCCGAGGACGGGGACGACGCACUUGCAUAAUAUAUUGGCGAAAGACGAGACGCGCUUCGCCGCGGCGACGACGUUCGACGUCGGGUUUCCGAGCGGGUUUCUCUCGAGCGGGUUCGUGAAGCCGUACCUGGCGAAAAUGAUGGAUUCGACGAGACCGAUGGAUAACAUGGCGCUGACGAUGGACACGCCGCAGGAGGACGAGCUGGCGACGAAUCAAUUGAGCGGGUGCGCGUCGCCGUACGCGCCGCUGAUGUUUAUGCGAGACGAGGCGAAAUUUCGCAAGUAUUACGAGCUUCGAGAGGAUCACGACGAGUAUCCCAUCGAGCGCGCAGAGCUGGAGGCGUGGAAAUCGGCGUUCAUGACGUUCAUGACAAAGUUGCAGUACAAGCACGGGGAGCACAAGCGGUUGGUGUUGAAGUCGCCCGUGCACGCGGCGCGCGUCGAGGUGCUUCGCAAACUCUUUCCGCGAGCGCAAUUCGUGUUCAUUUCUCGUCACCCGUACGAUGUUUUCAGAUCUGCGGUAAACAUGGCGGACAAGUACUACUGGCAGUGCUUUUUGCAACGCCCCACCGUGGCGGACGUGCAGGAAUUCAUCCUCAAGCAGGGAGAAAUUUUACACGACGCGUACGUGCGAGACUCGAAGUCGCUCCCGCGCGAAGCCUUGUUUGAGACGCGAUUCGACGAUCUCGACGCCGAUCCCGUGGGCACGUUGUCGAAAAUUUAUAAACAUUUCGGAUGGGAUGGAUUCGACGAAACGGUCGCGCCGGUGUUGAAGGAAUACGCGACGUCGCUCGCCGACUUUAAAAAGAAUAGCUUUGCCGAGCUCUCCGACGACGCCAAGGAGGUGAUCAACAGUCGCUGGGCGCGCUGGUUCACCGACUUGAACUACGAGAAACGAUAGCGCUGUAGCGUAGAAAUAACAGUAGAAAGAAGAUUGCUCAUUAAAGGAGCUUUUUCCGCUCAAAGAAACCCUUGAGAUAGACGAUUUGCCAGACGCACAUCCCGACGCACACGCUCAGGCUCAGCACGCUCAACCACGCGACUUUCGCGUUCGUCGAUUCAUUCAUAUCGCGCAUCUCCGCCUCUAACGCUCGCAAAUUCAACAUACCAUCGUGCACUUCUCUCAAAUCCGCCUCUAACGCCCGCAACGUCCGCGUAAACGCGUCCAAAUCCGUCGCCUUGGCCAGGCUCUUCCACUCCGUCGCCGCGACGCCGUGUUUCCAAUCUACGCGCACCCUGUGCUUCGCCAGCGCCGCAGCCUUCGCCUUUUCGUCCCCCAGCGACGUCAACUCCGGUUUAUAAAAGCACGCUCGGUGUUCUCCCUCCGUCUCGCUCGUGAAUCCGUGCCUUCCGCUCGUCGCGUCGUUCUUCUCCCACGCCACCUUCCCCUUCGCGUCGAACACCUUCACGCUCACCUCAUCUCCCUCCAUCACCGUCUCGAACGCGAACAGCACCACCGCGUUCGCGUGUAUGUCUUCGCUCACGCACUUCAUGUCGUCGUACGCGCCGUCGCCGCGGUGCACCAGAUCGAUCUCCAGCGCCGUCGCCGUCGUCGUCGAAAUCAUCAUCAUCAUCGCCCCACCGACGACCGCGGACGCGAUCGACGCGCGUCGCGCGCGCGCCAUCGCCGCACUACGCGCGCUUCACCGCCGAUGACGCGGCCAAGCCGCUCGCGCGUCGCGGAACGCCGCGAUUCGUGACGCGAUUCAUCCGCGCGCGUCCUCGCGCGUUCGAUGCCCGACGACGUCGUCGUCGCGCGCGCGCGAUGUCCCGCGCGCGCGCUCGCGCUGACGGCGACGAUCACCGCGCGCGGCGCGCGCGCGACGAUCGAGGUCGCGCGCGAGGCGCGGUCGCGUCGCGUCGCUUUCGCGCGCGGUCUCGCGGUGGCGACGCUGACGCGCGUCGCGCUGGCGCUGACGCGCGCGCGCGCGCGCGACGCGUGGCUCGCGAGCGCGAUGGCGUGCGCGAUGGCGACGCGCGCGAUGGGACGCGCGCGCGCGGUGGCGCGGGCGACGAUGGAUCGAGCGUUGGGCGCGCGGUGCGCGGACGGGACGGCGGUGCCGCGCGAGGACGCGCGCGGGUUCGAAGUCGCGGAGAGGCUGAGCGCGACGGACGCGUGGUAUCAGGUGGUGUGCGCGAGGGGGGGUGGGAGAGGACGCGUGGACGUCCUGGGAGGGACGCGGUGCUCGGGAGAGAUGGCGCGGGUGGUGAUGGCGACGGCGCGGCGGUGCUUCGAAGACGGUUAGGGGAUGGAUUGAAAAAAUCGUAGAUUCGGCGGGGACGGGGGUUUUAAUGAUGGAUGGAUAGAUGGACUGGCUAGAUCUAGGAGAGGGAGGAUGAAUCGUUCGUUACUCCUCGCGCGCGAGCGCGCGCUCGUCGUCGAAGCGCUCGACGUCGAAGCGCUCGUCGUCGAGCGCGAGCGCGGGCUCGAUGCUCGCCGCGGGUUCGAAAAACUCGAGAGCGCGCCACCACAGGUACGUCACCGCCGCGACGCACCACAACAUCUUUCCGAACACGACGCCGCGGCGGUACAGCCUGUAAAGACGCCCCAUGAACGUGUCCCACGUGUCGUACGCGCGGUCGUACGCGAGCUCGACGCGAUGGGCGACGUCGUCCCAGUUGUACAACGCCUCGACGCGCUCGUGAAUCCGCCACGGAUCGGCGCGCGGGAGCGCUUCGAGACACUCGUCGAGAGCGUCCAGGAUGGACUGCACGUCCGGCUUCGCUAAGAACAUGAUAUCUUCUGGUAAUACCUCUGGAACGCCUCCCACCGCGGUGGCGACGACGAGACAUCCGCACGACGCCGCUUCGAGGACGGCGAUGCAAAACGACUCCGUGAGCGAGGCGUUGAGGAACACGUCGCCUCGACGAAGCACUUCUGGGACCUUGUCGUGCGACACGCUCCCGAGAAUGGUGACGCGCUCGGUCAAACCCGCAUCUUCGAUCGCCUUCUCCAAAUGCUUCCGCAUCGAUCCAUCGCCCGCGAUUAGGAAAUCUAAAUCGUCGUGCUCGGCGCACGCGAGCGGAAUCACCCCCGCCAACAGAUGCACGCCCUUGCGAUACAUCAAUCUCGACGUCACCACCACCGUCCUGCGUCCUUUCUUCCGCUUCGUCACAUCCGGCGUGAAUCUCACGGAGUCCACGGCGUUCGGGAUGACGCUCACGCGCUCCGGCGCCAAACCUGGCUCGCCCCCGAGCAAGUACCCGCUCCGCAAAACCGUAUUCUCCUUCGCCGUGUGACUGACGCAAAUCGCGUGCUGCGUGUCCGCCAACGUCAUGUCCAAUAACUUGUUCGUGUGAAUCGCCCCGACGUCCGCGAAACCAAACAACGAGUGAUCGGUGAACACGCACUUCAUUCCCAUCGUUCGCGCGUACAGUAUGCCCUCGUGCGACAUCGUGCACCCUUGGUGCGCGUGCACCAGCGUCACGCCUUCGCGAACGCACGUCUAAUUCGAAUCAGAAUUCGCGCGUCAGUCGACGCGAACGAAACGAACGAGCGAACGAAACGAAAGAAACUUCGCGCGCGCGCGUCGCCGUCGCCGUCGUCGUCGUCGUCGUCGUCGUCGUCGCACCUUUCUAAAUAACUUGAACCCGCCGAGAAAAUUUGGAAACGUACAGUUGUCGUACAUGACCACCCUCGGCACGUGAUACACCUUGAUCCCGCGCGUGAUCCACCGCACGCCCACGCGUCCGGGAUGCGCGUGCGUGUACACCACCACCUUGUGUCCGCGCGCGCGCAAUCUCGCGGCGAGGGCGUAGAUGUGGAGCUCGACGCCGCCGAUCGACGGCAGGAAAAAGUCGCUCAGCAUCAAGACGCAGUGCUUCCGACGCGCGACGACGGGCGACGACGCCGACGUCGAUGGCGCGUCGUCGGCGUCGUUCGGGGCGCGACGCGCGCGCGUCAUGGCGCGCGCGCGGCGGCGUGUGCGGCGGCGCGGUGCGAAAGUGAGUCGUCGUCGUGAAAAAGUUUGAGGACAAAGAUGCGAUUUUUCGGGCGCGCCGGCGGAGGAGGGAGACGGAGGACGAGACGACGAGGGAACGCGCGAUUCGACGCGGGAUGCGCGUGGAAUGAAUCUGACUAUUAUGAACGAUCGCUGAGAUUCAAAAUCAUUCGGGAUUCAAAAUCCUUUGGCGGCGCGAGAACGCGGGAGGAUGUCGCCUCGACCGCGCUUGAGCCAUAGGUUGAUGGAGGCGCGGUGCGCGCGCGUGACGUAUUUCAAAACCUCGUCGAUGAAGAUGACGGGAAUGGAGAACCAAAACACCGCGCGCCACUCUUCGUAGUUGAGCGCGGUGAUGGUGAACGUCUUCGCGAAGGAUGGGACGUACAUGAUGAUGAAAUGGAGCCACAUGCUGAUGACGAUGGAGACGAGCAACCAGACAUUCGUCGUCGGCGGGUGGGAGAAUAACGAUUUGUUCUCGCUCAGUGAGUUCAACGCGUUGAACAUUUCGAUCAAUACUAGGGUCGACAUCGCCAUCGUGCUCGGUCGACGAUCUUUGAAGGAUUCACACGCGUCUCCGAUGCAUCGCGAGGCGCUCGUGAGCUCUGCCCACGUCAUUUGCGGGCCGCCGGGGUACGACAUAAACCACCAUCCGAACGACCCAACGGUCGCUAUGCCGACGUAAACGCCGAUAAUGAGGUACCGAAUCAGUAACCAUCGAUCAACGAUCUGCUCACGCGGACUCCGAGGUCGUUGACGCAUGAUGUCACCAUCCGCGCGGUUGAAACCAAGCGCGGUGGCGGGUAAUCCGUCGGUGACGAGAUUAACCCACAAAAGUUGCACCGGAACGAGCGUCUCCGGGAACCCAAGGGCGGCGGCGAUAAAAAUACACACCACUUCGCCGAUAUUUGAGCUCACCAUGUAGCGAAUAAAUUGCUUCGUAUUGUUGUAGAUUGCGCGACCCUCCGCGACGGCUUCGACGAUGGUGCUAAAGUUAUCGUCUGCGAGCACCAUAUCGGCGGCGCCUUUGGCAACCGCGGUACCGCUUCCCAUGGCAAUCCCGAUGUCCGCGCAUUUGAGUGCCGGAGCAUCAUUCACACCAUCGCCCGUCAUCGCGACGAUGUUGUCCUGCCGCUUCAAAAUCUCGACGAGCUUGCUCUUUUGCGCGGGCUCGACGCGAGAAAAGACGCACAUCGUCCGCGCCGCUUCUUCGCGCUGCUCGAUCGUCAUCGCCUCAAACUCCACACCGGUGAAAGAUUUUCCCUUGAAACUAUUUUGAGUUGAACCACCCGUCAAAGGAUCGAUCGAGUUGCUCAAGCCAAUCUGCGAUGCGAUGGCUUCUGCGGUUUGUUGGUUGUCGCCGGUGACCAUGAUGACGCGAAUACCCGCGUCUUUGCACGUUUGUAACGAAUAACGCACCUCCGGGCGCGGUGGAUCAAUCAUUCCAACAAGACCAAUGAAUGUGAGAUUGUUUUCGUCCGUCUCAGAGCACGUCGUUACGCCUCGACCCAUGGGGCGCAUCGCGAGCGCCAACACGCGUAGGGCGUCAUUGGCGUAGCCUCGCAUUUGCUCCGCCACUUGUUCGCGAACUUGAUCCGUCAUUCUUUCCGCUCGGCCGUUGCGAUUAGACAUAACCGACGUGCAAAGUGACAGAACACUCUCCGGUGCACCUUUGACGAAUAGAAUGGAUUCAUCAUUUCGAGAGCAUAGCGUUGACAUGCGCUUGCGUUCGCUCGUAAACUCCGCCGUCGCGAGCUUUGUAAAUUCCGAAUCCCAAUAUUGUGUGCUAUGCAUGUCCUGGUCGCUCUGAGCUCGCCCGAGUAUUCCGGAAUCCGAAGGUAGUCCAAUCUUUUCCGUGAGCACGCGAAGAGCAAUCUCUGUCGCUUCUCCAAUCUUCUCAAAAGAUCCCUUUUCCUUGUCGAAAUUCAGCGUGGAAUCGUUGCACAUCGAACAGCACAUGGCAACAUAAGCCACCGCCGCGGCGUCGGCUGGUUCGUGCACGACCAAGCCGCGAGAGUCUAAAAUUUCCCCAUUCUGUGCGUAAGCCUCGCCGCGAAUACCGUAGUUGGUAACUUCUGCGGUGCUCGAAUUUUCGAUGACGCACAUGCGCAUCACAGUCAUGACGUUGCACGUCAGCGUACCCGUUUUAUCGCUACAAAUAACCGAAGUGCACCCCAAGGUCUCCACGCUAGGAAGCGUUCGCACGAGAGCGUUCUUUUUCGCCAUGCGACGCGUGCCGAGGGCGAGACACGUGGUGACGACGGCGGGUAAGCCUUCGGGAAUCGCGGCCACGGCAAGCGCGACGGCAAUCUUAAAGUAAUAAACCGCACCUCGCAGCAAUCCUCCGUGCGCCUUGUCGGCAAAGUGUCCAAUGUUCACCACCCACACUAAAAUACAAAUUACCGCGAUGAUUUUCCCGAGCAAGUUCCCGAAUUCGUCCAAUUUCUUCUUCAGCGGCGUCAAUUCCUCCUCCGUCUGCUCGAGCGUGUGUUGAAUCUUCCCCAUGGCUGUGUUACUACCCGUACCGACCACCACGCACGUAGCCUUACCCACGGUCACCGUGGUCCCACUGUACACCAUGCACGUCUUGUCUUGCAGCACGCACUCGCCGAGAUGUUCCACCGCCCGUUCCGUCUUCGCCACGCUUCCGCUCUCCCCCGUCAACAGCGCCUGAUCGCACCGCAGGACGUUGGAGUGAAUCUUAACCAAUCGGCAAUCCGCGGGCACCUUUUCUCCCGUCGCAAUCUCCACGAUGUCUCCGGGCACGAGCGCCUCCGCGUUCACCUUGCGUUUCUCGCCGUCGCGCGUGCACGUGGCGACGUCCGCCUCGUACUUUUUCAAUUCCUCAAUCGCGCGCUCCGCGUUCUUCUCCGUCGCCACUCCCACCGCGGCGUUCGCGAUUAAUAUCGCCACGAUCACUCCCGGUUCCAGGAACGCCUCCGAGCCACCCUCACCGUCCCACAGCGCGAGCGCCAACGACACGAACGCCGCGAGCAACAGCACCUUCACCAUCGUGUCGUCGAAUUGCUUAAUCACCAACGACGCGAACGACGUCUCCCGCUGCGCCGGCAGCGCGUUCGCCCCGCACGCAUCUCUCCGUCGCUGCACGUCCGCGCGAUCGAGCCCGUGCGCGAGAUCGAGGACGCCCAACCGCGCCAAGGUUUCAGUCGCGCUCAAUCGAUGCGCGUCUUCCGCGUGUCUUCGCCACGCCGUCGCCGCCGCCGCGCUCUCGGGAUUGACAUCGCGCGCGUGAGGCAUGCUUUCGCGACGCGCGGUCGGCGCGACGCGCGCUCGAGCGACGCGCGCGCGUCGUCGUUCGCGGAUAAGCGUCGCCGGGUGUCCCGUCCAGCCGAACGUUCGGGACGCCCGACCGCAGUGUUCGCCGCGCGCGACGACCGCGAUGCCGUCCUCGACGUCCCGCGCGCUCGUCGCGGCGUCCGGAAUCGUUCUGGCGAUCGUCGCGAGCGAUAUCUACGGCGCGUACGCGUCCACGGCGACGGAGACGGCGCCGUCCGAGACGUUUCGCGCGAUGUCCCGAGGCGCCGGGAAAGUCGUCGUCGGGUUUUGCACCUCGUGAUCUUACCGCGGCGGGUUCAACCAGCUCGCGCGCGCGAUCGAAAAUGAAUUCGGGAUGGCCACGACCGGUGGGCACUGGCCGCCGAGCGCGACGGCGGUGGCGCUCGGUCGAGCGUUCUCGUGGGUGCAAAUCGCGCUCUGGACGGCUACGUUUUUCGGCGAGCGGGCGGCGACGCGCGUCUUCGGCGAGAGCGCGGUCGUCCCGGCGUGGUUGAAGUCGAUGAGCGAGAAUAAGUUUCAAACCGCCAUCAUGACUUUUUGGGUGUUCAACAUCGUGAGCGCGAACGUGUUGAACACCGGGGCGUUUGAGGUGUUUUACGACGGCGAGCUCGUGUCUUCAAAGUUGCAGAGCGGGAAAUUGCCGAGGGUCGAUACGAUAUUCGAAGGGAUUCGCGCGAUUCAGGGGAAGUAGUGUCAUCGCAUGGAACGAUGAGAUGCGAUGCUCGUCGUGGUUAGCGAUGCGAUGGGCGCGCGGGAUGAAACGAACGGUGACGACGCGCGCGGAAAACUCGGUCGAAGAAAUCGGCCAGUCGCGCGCGUUUGACUUCUUCGGUUCGUCCACGCGCUUCGCUCGUCGUCGUCGUCUGGAAGAUGAAUCAAUAUAUCAUCAUCAUGUAAUAAAAACUAACGUAGUUCUCUCGCGCGAAUAAAACUAACGUAGUUCUCUCGUGCGAGUCGAAGACCGACCGCGGGGCGAUGAUGGGCGACGUCGACGGCGCUCGCGCGGCGCGUUCGUCGCUCAAAUUUUAUAUAACGACCUUGCCGUCGAAAAUUACAACGCUAAACCGUAAGUGAUUACCACGGGAUCGGACGGAACUCCUCGUCGCUGCCGUCACCGAGCGUCUUUUGCGCGAGCAAGAACGUCGGGGCGGUGGACAAGAAGGCGAUGAAGGCGACGGCUUCGCCGCCGACGGAGCUCGUGAACAAGUUGACGGCUUGCGGGUUGGCCAUGUGCGCCUCCAAGCCCUCCAACGGGGAGAGACCGGUGACGGCGUAUUGGGAAACCAUACCGAGGAACGCAACCAUCGCGAGGCGCGCGUUCUUCACUUCCUUCACGCGCUUGUCCGGAGCAUCGAGUCCAGCCGGGUCGAACGGGAACGCGUUCAACACGCCGGAUUCGCCCGACUUCAUGAAACCGCGCGUGCGCGCCGCCUCGAGAAUGCUCAUCGCCACGACUUGGAACCCGACGAGCUGUUGGAAGUCCAUACCGUAAUCCACGGCACCGGCUUCCCACCACUUCGGCAAACCAACCGCGUCGGUGAACAAAAUACCCGCCGUCGCCGCCAUGGCCCAGCGCCCGUUCAUGAGCUCCGCCUCUUGCAAGUACGGCAGCGUCUCCGGGUUCGCCCCGAGUCGCAACGGGUCAAAGCCUGCGCGCGCACCGCAUCCGUCAGUCACACAUCCACGCGCGCCUCCAUUCGUCCCGCGUCCCGCCCUCUUCCGCUCGCGUAGGCGCGUCUCCCCGCGCCGCCGCCCCGCGCGUCCGCCGCCUUCGAAUCGCCAUCCCAGCCGUAUCCGACCGUAUCGUAUCUCCCAUCGCCCGCCAUCGCGCGCGUCCUCGCGCGUCGCUCGCGUCGCGCACCGUAAUCGCCGGCCAUCGUCCCAUCGAGAUAUUUCGGCGCCACCGCUCCCGGGUACCACAGCUCGCGGUCCGCGUUCGCCGCGCGCGCGGCGACGCGCGCGCGCGGCGCGCGCGUCGUCGAUCGCGCGUCGACGAUCGUCGCGCGGUUCGCGAUGGCGUGUCGAGCCGUCGUGAGGGAGAACAUCGCGUUCGUCGGGUGUUCGCGCGCGAGAAUUUACGCGUUCACGGGUCCGUCGUCGUCGACGGGUGCGCGCGGCUCGUGCGAGGCGCGGGCGUGUGAAGACGCGCGCGCGUCCGCGCGCGGCGCGCGCCAAUCCGCGCGCGCGAUCCGUCGCGAUGGAUGGGCCGCGUUCGCGUUUGAUCGCCUUCGCGCGCGCUCGAAUACGGGGGAUUCGAAUACGCGCGCGGCUGAGUGUCCGUGUGUGAGACGCACCACGAUUGAGACGCCGCGCGGCAUCGCGACCGCGGACCGCGACGCCGUCGCGGCGCGGCGCGAUGCCGCGCGCGCGCGACGCGCGCGCGCGCGUACGAGCGCUCUUUCUCGCGUGCGUCGUUCUCGCGACGCGCGGCGCGCGCGCGAGCGACGCGAAAGCCGACGCGCGAGGACGAGCGCUCGCGCUCGAGCGCUGGGCGCGGACGCCGACGCGACGCUGGGACGCGGCGGCGCGAGAGGAAGACGCGACGACGGCCGCGCGCGUGUCGGAAUCGAUUCGAAUCGUCGCGGAGGCGCGAGGCGCGGGUCGAGGCGUGGCGACGACGAGGAACGUGAGCGCGGGGGAGCUCCUGGCGGAGGUGCCGCUGGAGAAGUGCCUGUGCGCGGCGAGCGCGAGGAUGGACGCGCGGCUGUGGCGCGCGAUCGGGGCGAGCGGGGCGAGCGGGGACGCGAUAUUGGCGGCGCACGUGCUGCGGGAGGCGUUCGAUGCGGGAUCGAAGAGCGCGUAUUGGCCGUGGUUGCGGUUGCUGCCGAGAGACGUGGACAGCACGGUGGGGUGGAACGAGGACGAGUUGAGCGAGCUGAGCGGAUCGAACGUCGUGGUGUUCACGCGAGCGAUCAAGGCGCAGUGGAGGAUGGAAUACGACGCGCUCGACGUGCCGACGCUUGGGGAAAAAUUUCCAGACGUCUUCGGGGGCGAGCGCGCGGCGCAUUACACGUUUGACAAGUUUACGUGGGCGCGGUUUAUUAUUUGGUCGCGCGCGAUCGAUUUAUCCACCGAAAGCGCCGAGGCGCCGACGAUUCGCGUGCUGGUACCGUUGUUGGACAUGGCGAACCACGCGCCAGGGGGUAAGUUGCGCCCGGAGUGGGACGCGCGCUCGAACGCGGUCAAGGUGUACGCGGCGAGCGCGUUUCGGGAGCACACGGAAUUAAGGUUCAACUACGACACCAAGCCGUCGCAGUACUUUUUGUUACAAUACGGUUUCAUUCCGGAAACGAAUCCCGCCGAGUGCGUCGAGGCGACGGUGCGCGUGAGCGAUCACGACUCCCUUCGAGACGCCAAAGAGGAGCUCUUACGUCUGCACGGUCUCGAUCCGAAGAAGAGAAACUUCGAAUGGAAACCGCGAAGUAUUGAUUACGACUUGCUCGCGGCGACGCGAGUCAUAACUAUGGACGAGGCAGAAAUGAGCGACGCGACGUCGUUGACGCUCGCCGUCAGUGGCGCCUCGGUGAGCGCCAAGAACGACGCGCGCACGAAAGCCGUACUCCUCAAAUCUUUGGCGAGCUUUUUAGAGUCGUAUACGACGACUCUCGCGGAAGACAACGAAUACGUCGCACGUGUCGAUGACGAAUCGAACGAUGAGCCGCUUCCAGGAAAGCGAAAGCGCUUCGCCGUGUUGCUGCGCAUGCGCGAAAAGCAAAUCUUGCUCGCAUCCGCGGACGCCUUGUUCAAGGAAUUACCAGACGAAGAUCAAGAGCUCGUGAAGUCGACGUGCGAAGAGAUCUUCAUGAAUGAAUUCGACGCGUGCAUGACGCGCGCGAACGGGACGGUGUUCGCGUCGUACGAGAAAAAAACCGAGGAGGAGAGGGUGGAUGAAUCAUCGUAAAUCGGUAUUAUGUAUCAACACAACAUUAACUAGGUGUAGUCAAAGUAGCUUGUAGCGCAGCGCGUCAAAUUAUUUAGUAAGGACGGUGUCUGUUAUCGCGACCUCGGCCAUUGCGUCGGUUGUCUCGUCCACGGCCGCCGCCGCCGCCGAUGGCGUAGGCAACUUGGCCGGUGGGAAGGAUGACUGGCGUUGCGUUCACUUGUCUGGCGCCAGACCAAGAGCCGCGCGGGGCGAGACCGCCGCCGUACUUGGAGUCGCCACUUCUGUAUUUAGACCAAUCGUCCCGACCACCGCCGCGAGAAGGACCGCCGCGGCCCGAGUUUGGCUCUCGACCUCGAUUGCCGGCGUCCGAGCGGUACGAUUUGCGCGACGACAUCACCUUGAUGGUGGAGCCGUCGACGCUGGAGAUGAAGGCACCACCCUUGUCACCUUCGGCCGCGCCUUCAACCGGUUCGCACUCCGCGAGAGCUUUUUCGACGCUCUCGGCGGAAUCGUAAAACACCCAGCCUCUCGUGCGAUCUUUUUCCAUAAUCUGCGUGCCGAGAAUUGUACCGUAACGCUCGAAAGCCUCGCGCAAGCCCUGAUCUGUGGCGUUCGCUUCGUUCAUCUCGGUGACGUGCAACGUCUUGAUUUCGAUUUCUUUCUUCUGCGGUCUUGGUCCGACAAAUUCGCACACAAGACCUCUCUUGUCCUUGUCGUCCGCCACGGGCAACUUUUCUUCGCGGUUCGCCGCCAUGUUCUUCAUAAAGCGUUCCGCGCACGCCUCGUUGUAAAACGAAGCCCAACCCCGGCCGCCGUUGUGAUCUCCACUUUCAACGACCGCGUUCUCGGCGUUCUUCUUCGCCGAUCGCGGUCGCGAGAGCGCGAAAAACUCCAAACCCGCGCCUCGCGAGCGCAACGCCUCCACGAUCUCCUCUCGCGUCGCGUCCUUUCGCAGCCCGGUCACCAUCACCCGAUACUUGCUCGGUUUCACGCUCGCCGUAAUCUUCAUCUUCUUCACCUCGCACUCCGCCUUCGCGAUCGCCGCCACCGCGUUCGCCGCGCUCUCCCUCGAGUCGUACCUCGCGAACGCGUACCCGCGAUGCGUCCCCGUCGUCCUAUCCGUCACCAAUUCGAACCCCGUCGCCCCGCUCUCCGCCCCGCACUCCCGCAGCGCCGCGUGCACGUCCUUCUCGCUCGCCUCCGCCGCGAUUCCCUUCACGAACACCUCCGUCUCCCGUCCCGGUUUCCCCGCGAUCAGCGCAUCCGUCGCGUCCGAUUCCAGAAGCACGCUUCGGCGCUCGUCGAAGUCGUACGCGUCGUCCUCGUCCAUCGCCGCCGUCGCCGUUUCGCCUCGCGCGUCGCGAGUCUCAGUCGUCGUCGCGUCGCGCGCGCGCGUGUGCCGACGCGAUCGCGCGCGCGAUUCGCGAUCGCGCGUCGUCAAUCGUUUUCGCGGGAACGGCGCGCGCUACAAAAAGCGACUCGACGACGCGCGCGAUGUCGCGCGCGGACGCUCGAAACGCGUACGACGCCAUCCUCGACGCGCGCACGCGCGACGCGGCGUCGAUGGAGCGGUUCGCCGCGCUCGCGACGGCGCCGAGCGCGGUGCCGCGCGCCGCCGUCGAAGCGGUCGUCGACGCGGGCGCGCGCGCGGCGCUCGUCGACGUGCGCUCGCCGGGAGAGCACGCGCGAGGACGCGCGCCGCGCGCGAUAAACGCGCCGCUGUUCGAUGACGACGAACGCGCGGCGGUGGGGACGGCGUACAAGACGAGAGGACGAGGCGAGGCGCUGGUGCUGGGGAUGGCGGCGGCGGCGCCGCGGUUGGAGGCGAUCGUGGAGCGCGCGAAGCGAGCGGUGGAGACGGUGGCGACGACGCGAGGGAACGGUGACGGCGAAGACGAUGGUGAGAUUGAUGUGUACGUGAUGUGCUUUCGAGGAGGGAUGCGGAGCUCGUGCGUGGGGUGGUUGUUGAAGGAACGGUUGCGCGGCGCGAGAGUCCACGUGGUCGAGGGCGGAUACAAGGCGUUUCGGAGGUGGGCGCUCGAGCGGUGCGGACCGACGCGCGGAUUGCCCGCGCCGAGGGUGUGCGUCGUCGGUGGACGCACGGGGGUGGGGAAGACGCGCGCGCUGUUGGCGCUGCGCGCGAAAGGGGAACAGAUUAUCGAUUUAGAGGGGUUGGCGAACCACGCCGGGAGCGCGUUCGGGUGGGUCGGGCGAGAGCCGCAGCCGACUUCGGAGCACUACUCUAAUUUAGUCGCCUGCGAGUGGCACGCGUUGGAUGCGAGCAGAUGGGUGUUCAUCGAGGAUGAGGGACCGCACGUCGGGCGGUGCUCGGUGGAUCCGUUGUUGUUUGAGCGCAUGCGAAACGCUCCUCUGGUGCUUCGCAUGGUCGCCCCGCGCGAGGUGCGGUUGCACACUUUAGUGGAAGAUUACGCGACGUCAGAGUUGCGUUCUCAUCCGGAAUGGAUGCCCACAAUGCGUGAAAGCGUCGAUAAGCUCGUCAAGCGGCUCGGUGGCGACCGCGUGCGCGACAUUCGAGAAAAGCUCGAAGCCGGCGAUUUCACCGCCGUCGCCGAAGGUUUGCUCGAGUAUUACGACGGUUUGUACGACAAGCACCUCAUGAGCAAGCGCAAAGACCGUCGCGCGGCGCGGGCCGCCAACGCCAACGCCGCCAACGCCAACGCCAACGACGACGCGUGUUCGGUGCAAUCCUUCACGUCGUCCACCACCGAAGACGAGGCCCGAGCCGGCGUCGUCGUCGACGUCAACUGCGUCGCCAACGCCUCGGGUGGCCUCGACGAGGACCUUCUCGUCCGCGAUGUUCUGUGCGCCGUCGCUCUGUUCGAAUGCGAAGGACCGAACGACCCCGAACGCGCGUAGUCGAUUCGAUUCGCGUCUCGUCUCGAGCGCCGACUCGAGGCUGACUCAGCACGGUCGUGCCGACACGCUUUGCAAUAAUCCACGCGCGAGUUCGUCACAAACGCGCGCGUCUCACGCACGUUCGAACGCGCGAACGCUCAAAUCCACGAAAAAGAUGUUCUCUCUGUCCUCUACCGCCGCUCUCGCCCGCGCGCGCGUCUCGGCGCCGCGUAAAACCGCGCGAAAGUUGACGAUUCGCGCCUCCGUCAACUACAUUCUCGAUCGCGAGGGAUGUUCGAGCGCGCGGUCCGACGACGACGGCGCGCUGCUCCAGACGGCGGCGAAGACGUGCCUGGCGGUUCCGAUCGACGUGAACGCGCUCGUGGCGCAAAAUAAGGGUGACUUGGAGUUUGAGAACGAGCAGUUGAAGUUUGAGCUCGACGACUCGAGCGCGCUCGUCGUGCAAUCGCUCAAAGGCAAAACUCUGAUCGACGGGAAAGCGGCGCCCAAGGGACGAAAAUUGAAACUUCGCGCGGGAUCGAAGAUUAAGAUCGCCGACGAGGAAUUCACGGUGUAUCGAAACACGCACGCGCACGCGUGAGACGCGAGUCGCCGAACGCGAGUCGCCGAACGCGAAUCGAAUCAAGACCACACUCUUUGACUCCGCACCUUUUAUCGUUGUACCAUCGCUGUAUAGCUACUAACUCUGUUGUAAAACACGAGCGGACCUUACUCGAUCA